GACGUAGGUGGCAAGCGUUGUCCGGAGUUAUUGGGCGUAAAGCGCGCGCAGGCGGUUCGGUAAGUCCAUGGUGAAAGCCCACGGCUCAACCGUGGAGGGUCAUUGGAAACUGGGGGACUUGAGUGCAGAAGAGGAGAGUGGAAUUCCACGUGUAGCGGUGAAAUGCGUAGAGAUGUGGAGGAACACCAGUGGCGAAGGCGACUCUCUGGUCUGUAACUGACGCUGAGGCGCGAAAGCGUGGGGAGCAAACAGG
rnacentral:rRNA from 1 species